CUUCAUUUCUCUUUCUUCAGAUGAUGAUCCUAAGCCUUCUGGCGAUCUGUUUGCACAAGCCUCUGAGAGGGAUGAAGAUAUUGUUUUCUUUGAUCAGAUUAUGCCGGUAAAGGUUUUCUGGUUUACCCUAUAGGGCUUGUAGCUCAGUUGGUUAGA
rnacentral:misc_RNA from 1 species